rnacentral:rRNA from 1 species
UACGGAGGGGGCGAGCGUUGUUCGGAAUUAUUGGGCGUAAAGGGCGCGUAGGCGGCUGAUCAAGUCGGGUGUGAAAUCCCUCGGCUCAACCGAGGAACUGCACCCGAUACUGGUCGGCUAGAGUCCGGGAGGGGAUGGCGGAAUUCCCAGUGUAGCGGUGAAAUGCGUAGAUAUUGGGAAGAACACCAGUGGCGAAGGCGGCCAUCUGGACCGGAACUGACGCUGAGGCGCGAAAGCCAGGGGAGCGAAU